AAAGUGCAUUUGCUGCUGCUAAGGUGGAUUUAAAUGAACAAUGCAGUCUGGUGCAGCUUGGAGUUUCCUGUUUGCCUUGUUAGUAUUUCCUGCCCUUAUCUAGGUAGUCAGAAUUACCAGCCUGCCAGUUUUUGUCGUGAUUAACGCCCCCGUGGGCGGCAGACAGAGUAAAUGUGAAUGAGGAGGCUUUCCACAUCCCGCAUUAUAAUAUGUAAAGCGCGCUAUGAAUUUCGUUUGCUGUUGCUGGUAUAGCUUAGGUAAAGUUAAAGUAAAAGAGCAGUCAGGAGCAUCUUGAAGUUUCUUGUUCGCCUUUGCCUUUGCCUUGCUCUUAUUUAGGAAAUCAGCGUAACCUGACUGCCAUUUAAUGCUUUGAGUAAAGCCCCUGGAGUCCGCAGACAGAGGCUGUAUUCGGAAUGGCAUACUACUAUACUGCAGGGCUGGACUGGUUGUCUGGCGUGCCAGGCGUUUGCCCGUCUUCAGGACCGAUGCUGUUCUGUAAAGCAGAAUAGUGUAAAGCACAGCAGAGAGUUGUAGCACGGACUAUGUUAUGUGUAACACACUUCCUGUUCAGGAUGAAAAUAAACCACCCGUGAGUUACUGAACUGCUAAUCUGAGUCCGGGUCUCCUUCAUGCUCACUCACAGUCUGCCAGUAACAUAACAUGGUGUCAGAAGUAAAAAGAAGAAACAAAGAAAAAGUAAAGAAGAACUAAAGGAAAAUAAACGGCGGAAAAUGGAUGCAAACAGAGACGGAGGAGCGACGCUACCACAGUUAGCACCACCGGGCAAGUUCGACUUUACCAAUGCUAAUGAAUGGCCGAGGUGGCUAAAACGCUAUGAGCGCUAUAGAAUAGGACACUUCGCCAAGAAAUGUAGGUCAAGUGGGCAUGUCCAUAAUAUCACAGAGGCAGCACAAGAGAGCAGUGAGGAGGAUUUUGCUUUCCUGGGAGAAAUGUGCUCUGACGAGGAGGAGGAGUGGUGCGAAAUUGUGCAAAUAAACAGUGAAAAAGUUGUGUUCAAGCUGGAUACAGGAGCUACUGUCACAGCAAUUCCAAGCAGCUCCUACUCUGCCAAAAGUCACGAUACACUGCAGCCGUCCAGAAAACUGCUGUAUGGCCCUGGAAACCACAAGCUAGAAGUCAAAGGACUGUUUAAAGGCAAGUUGAGCUUUGAUAAUAAAGUGACUGAACAGGACAUUUAUGUUGUUGGAGGUCUAGCCAAACCAUUACUGGGCCUACCAGCAUUAAAAGCUCUAGCCUUGAUAAAGCGGGUCCAUGCAGUGCAGGGCCAGCAAGAAGAUUUUAAAGCACAGUA
rnacentral:lncRNA from 1 species